rnacentral:rRNA from 1 species
UGGGGAAUAUUGGACAAUGGGCGCAAGCCUGAUCCAGCCAUGCCGCGUGGGUGAAGAAGGCCUUCGGGUUGUAAACCCCUUUCACCGGUGACGAUGAUGACGGUAGCCGGAGAAGAAGCCCCGGCUAACUCCGUGCCAGCAGCCGCGGUAAUACGGAGGGGGCGAGCGUUGUUCGGAAUUACUGGGCGUAAAGGGCGCGUAGGCGGUCCGUUGCGUUAGGUGUGAAAGCCCGGGGCUCAACCCCGGAACGGCCUUCGAGACUGGGCAGCUCGAGACCGGAAGAGGAGGGUGGAAUACCCAGUGUAGAGGUGAAAUUCGUAGAUAUUGGGUGGAACACCAGUGGCGAAAGCGGCUCUCUGGUCCGGAUCUGACGCUGAGGCGCGAAAGCGUGGGGAGCAAACAGGAUUAGAUACCCCCGUAGUCC